UCUGACUGUCCCCAAAUCCAGUGACCUGAGC
rnacentral:piRNA from 1 species